UAAUGCAUGGCACAGUGGUUUGAGUGCUGGAUUAAAACUCUGGAGAUCAGGGUUUGAUUCCCAGCUCAGCCA
rnacentral:tRNA from 1 species